rnacentral:rRNA from 1 species
AAUGAGAGUUUGAUCCUGGCUCAGGACGAACGCUGGCGGCGUGCCUAAUACAUGCAAGUAGAACGCUGAUGUUUGGUGUUUACACUAGACUGAUGAGUUGCGAACGGGUGAGUAACGCGUAGGUAACCUGCCUCAUAGCGGGGGAUAACUAUUGGAAACGAUAGCUAAUACCGCAUAAGAGUAAUUAACACAUGUUAGUUAUUUAAAAGGAGCAAUUGCUUCACUGUGAGAUGGACCUGCGUUGUAUUAGCUAGUUGGUGAGGUAAAGGCUCACCAAGGCGACGAUACAUAGCCGACCUGAGAGGGUGAUCGGCCACACUGGGACUGAGACACGGCCCAGACUCCUACGGGAGGCAGCAGUAGGGAAUCUUCGGCAAUGGACGGAAGUCUGACCGAGCAACGCCGCGUGAGUGAAGAAGGUUUUCGGAUCGUAAAGCUCUGUUGUUAGAGAAGAACGUUGGUAGGAGUGGAAAAUCUACCAAGUGACGGUAACUAACCAGAAAGGGACGGCUAACUACGUGCCAGCAGCCGCGGUAAUACGUAGGUCCCGAGCGUUGUCCGGAUUUAUUGGGCGUAAAGCGAGCGCAGGCGGUUCUUUAAGUCUGAAGUUAAAGGCAGUGGCUUAACCAUUGUACGCUUUGGAAACUGGAGGACUUGAGUGCAGAAGGGGAGAGUGGAAUUCCAUGUGUA